UACAGAGGGUGCGAGCGUUAAUCGGAAUUACUGGGUGUAAAGCGUGCGUAGACGGUUAUUUAAGUCGGAUGUGAAAGCCCCGGGCUCAACCUGGGAAUUGCAUUCGAGACUGAAUAGCUAGGGUGCGGUAGAGGGAAGCGGAAUUUCCGGUGUAGCGGCGAAAUGCGUAGAUAUCGGAAGGAACAUCAGUGGCGAAAGCGGCUUCCUGGACCAGCACCGACGUUCAGGCACGAAAGCGUGGGGAGCAAACAGG
rnacentral:rRNA from 1 species